CCCGCGCUCCUCCGGGCAGAGCGCGUGUGGCGGCCGAGCACAUGGGCCCGCGGGCCGGGCGGGCUCGGGGCGGCCGGGACGAGGAGGGGCGACGACGAGCUGCGAGCAAAGAUGUGCCCCGGGACCCCCGGCACCUUCCAGUGGAUUUCCUUGCGGAAAGGAUGUUGGCGGUCCCUGUGACCUGUGGAGACACGGCCAGAUCUGCCCUCCAGACCAUAGCUGUCUGCAGUGCAGGAAGCCAACUAUUAAGGGGAAACAAAAGUGUUCUUAGGAGUCCUGCUGUCACUGUGGAUUGAGCCGGUGAAGCCCUGAGGGAUUUCAUCGCUGAGGUGGAUGGAGAAGCAGCUGGGGGCCUUGGCUGUAAGGACCCCUAAGGGCCUGAUCUUUUGGCCAGAAGGAGAUUAAAAAGAUGCCCCUCAAGAUGGCUGUGCCUGUCAGCUGCAUGGAGCUUCGUUCAAGUAUUUUCUGAGCCUGAUGGAUUUACAGUGAUCUUCAGUGGUCUGGGGAAUAACGCUGGUGGAACCAUGCACUGGAAUGACACACGCCCGGCACAUUUCAGGAUACUAAAAGUGGUUUUAAGGGAGGCUGUGGCUGAAUGCCUCAUGGAUUCUUACAGCUUGGAUGUCCAUGGGGGACGAAGGACUGCAGCUGGCUGAGAGGGUUGAGAUCUCUGUUUACUUAGAUCUCUGCCAACUUCCUUUGGGUCUCCCUAUGGAAUGUAAGACCCCGACUCUUCCUGGUGAAGCAUCUGAUGCACGUUCCAUCCGGCGCUCAGCUGGGCUUGAGAGUCUCACUCUGUGGUCCAGGCUGAAGUACAGUGGCAUGAUCCCAGGUCACUGCAACCCCCACCUCCCGGGUUCAAGUGAUCCUCCUGCCUCAGCCUCCCGAGUAGCUGGUAUUACAGGCGUGUGCCACAAAGCCUGGCUAAGUUUUGUAUUUUUAGUAGAGACGGGGUUUCACCAUGUUGGCCAGGUUGGUCUCGAACUCCUGACCUCAAGUGAUCCACUCACUUUGGCCUUUCAACGUGCUGGGAUUACAGGCGAGAGUCACCGCACCCGGACGACUCUGACAUUUUUGAAGAGUCCAGAAUCCUGUUACACCUGGGAUUUAGGCACUUUCAAUCUGAAAAAAUACAUAUCCUUUCAGCACUCUGGACGGACUUGAGAACUGUCCUUACGUGACCUAAAGCUGGAGUAUUUUGAGAUUGGAGAAUUAAGGCCUUCAGUGGGUUGAAUGAGGCCCAACCCACAUUGAAGAGGACCAUCUGCUUUACUCAGUCUCCUGGUUGAAGUGAUAAUCUCAUCUGGACAUACUCAGAAAUGCUGUUUAACCAGCUCUCUGGAAAUCCUGUGGCCCAGUCAAGUUGACACACAAAAUUAACCAUCACACUGCAGAGACACAGUCUAUCCCAAUACCUGUAUUUACUGGAGUGUGGGCACCCUGGCUUCAAGCUCACGAGAAACCAGAAGGAAGUCACUGUGCAUAGCCAUCCCCUAAGAAGAGGGCAUUCCUGCUCUUCCUUCUCCAUGGCUAGAGGAUCUACAUGAACUAUUUAGAUUUUUUCUACCUGGGAGAUUUAACUCCUCUCUCCUAUUUAUUUAUUUAUAUAUCAGCAUGGACUUGCAGGCCAACAGAGAUUUUGAGAAACACAUUGAAGGAUCUGUUAACACUUGAUAUACCCAAUAAAAGCAGUGGUUGUGCCAGUGCUGAUCUGUCUUGAUGUGAAUGUGAACAAUGGGAACCUGAGCUGAGCAGUUAAUGCUAGGGUGACAGAAACUGGACCUCUCCCAAGACAUGUGACAGAGUAAUACAGCAGCCAACUUCUUCGCCAAAUUAAAGUUUUACAAGAUUUAACCUGUCAUCAAGACCUGGGAUUUUGGUGAGCCAGUCUUGGUGCUCUGUGUUCACCUGGUUCAUCUGAGGAGCUGCAUCUACCCUGCCCAUGCCAUAGAUCCUGCCCUGUUUGCUUCUCCUGUUGCUGCUAGUGGACAUGAGAAGGACAGAAUAACGGGCUCCCAGAUUCACAAGCCCCACCAAGAGGAUCACCCCAGGAACGCUUGGAGGCUGAGGAGUUCACUGAGGCUACUGCAUCUUGAGACUCAGGAUGAAGACCCAGCUUGGGGCUGUCAAAGGUUUUUUGCAUGUCUGACACCCAUGACUCCACCUGGACCUUAUGGCUCCACCCAGAAGCAAUUCAGCCCAACAGGAGGACAGCUUCAACCCAUUACGAUUUCAUCUCUGCCCCAACCACUCAGCAGCAAGCACCUGUUACCUGUCCACCCCCACCCCUUCCCCCAAACUGCCUUUGAAAAAUCCCUAACCUAUGAGCUUUGAAUAAGAUGAGUACGAACUUCAUCGCCCACGUGGCGUGGCCGGCCUCGUGUCUAUUAAAUUCUUUUUCUACUACAA
rnacentral:lncRNA from 1 species